ACGGAUUUCUUCGGAUUGAAGCCUUGGUGACUGAGCGGCGGACGGGUGAGUAACGCGUGGGUAACCUGCCUCAUACAGGGGGAUAACAGUUGGAAACGGCUGCUAAUACCGCAUAAGCGCACAGUACCGCAUGGUACGGUGUGAAAAACUCCGGUGGUAUGAGAUGGACCCGCGUCUGAUUAGGUAGUUGGUGGGGCAACGGCCUACCAAGCCGACGAUCAGUAGCCGACCUGAGAGGGUGACCGGCCACAUUGGGACUGAGACACGGCCCAAACUCCUACGGGAGGCAGCAGUGGGGAAUAUUGCACAAUGGGGGAAACCCUGAUGCAGCGACGCCGCGUGAGCGAUGAAGUAUUUCGGUAUGUAAAGCUCUAUCAGCAGGGAAGAAAAUGACGGUACCUGACUAAGAAGCCCCGGCUAACUACGUGCCAGCAGCCGCGGUAAUACGUAGGGGGCAAGCGUUAUCCGGAUUUACUGGGUGUAAAGGGAGCGUAGACGGCAUGGCAAGCCAGAUGUGAAAGCCCGGGGCUCAACCCCGGGACUGCAUUUGGAACUGUCAGGCUAGGGUGUCGGAGAGGAAAGCGGAAUUCCUAGUGUAGCGGUGAAAUGCGUAGAUAUUAGGAGGACACCAGUGGCGAAGCGGCUUUCUGGACG
rnacentral:rRNA from 1 species